rnacentral:rRNA from 1 species
GACGAACGCUGGCGGCGUGCUUAACACAUGCAAGUCGAACGGGAAGGCCGUGCUUUUGUGGGGUGCGCGAGGGGCGAACGGGGGAGUAACACGUGAGUAACCUGCCCUUGACUGUGGGAUAACUUCAGGAAACUGGGGCUAAUACCGGAUAGGAGCUCCUGCUGAAGGGUGGGGGCUGGAAAGCUUCGGCGGUUGGGGGUGGACUCGCGGCUUAUGAGCUUGUUGGUGGGGUAGUGGCUUACCAAGGCUUGGACGGGUAGCCGGCCUGAGGGGGUGACCGGCCACCUUGGGACUGAGAUACGGCCCAGACUCCUACGGGAGGCAGCAGUGGGGAAUAUUGCACAGUGGGCGGAAGCCUGAUGCAGCAACGCCGCGUGCGGUAUGACGUCCUUCGCGUUGUAAACCGCUUUCGCCUGUGACGAAGCGUGAGUGACGGUACCGGGUAAAGAAGCACCGGCUAACUACGUG